UGCAUUCACUACUAUAAGUCGCUCUGGAUAAGAGCGUCUGCUAAAUGAAGAAAA
rfam:Salmo salar isolate Sally breed double haploid chromosome ssa01, whole genome shotgun sequence.